rnacentral:rRNA from 1 species
UCACGCAUCGCGUCUCCCCUACAAAUCACCUUGAUAUUGAGGGGAAGGAGGAUGGCUUCCCGUGCCUCACCGGGCGCGGCUGGCCUAAAUAUGGAGCCAACGGCACGGAGUUGCUGCGGCGUUUGGUGGUGAACAAGGCCUCGGCCGAGCAAACAACCCGCUGCGGAACCCUUGCUACAUUGGACUCGCAGGACCCUUUGACGUUGCUUCUAGCACGGCAAACCUUUGCGAC